rnacentral:rRNA from 1 species
CCUACGGGAGGCAGCAGUGAGGAAUCUUUGUCAAUGGACGCAAGUCUGAACCAGCCAUGCCGCGUGCAGGAAUACGGCUCUAUGAGUUGUAAACUGCUUUUGUACGAGGGUAAACGCAGAUACGCGUAUCUGUCUGAAAGUAUCGUACGAAUAAGGAUCGGCAAACGCCGUGCCAGCAGCCGCGGUAAUCCGGAGGAUGCGAGCGUUAUCCGGAUUCAUUGGGGUUAUAGGGUGCGUAGGCGGAAGGUUAAGUCAGCGGUCAAAUGUCGGUGCUCAACACCGGCCGGCCGUUGAAACUGGUCUACUUGAGUGAGCGAGAAGGAUGCGGAAUGCGUGGUGUAGCGGUGAAAUGCAUAGAUAUCACGAAGAACACCGAUGGCGAAGGCAGCAUACCGGCGCUCAACUGACGCUGAGGCACGAAAGCGUGGGGAGCGAACGGGAUUAGAUACCCCUGUAGUC